rnacentral:lncRNA from 1 species
CACCGAGGUCCACCAUUCUGCGGCCAGGUUCUUCCGCAACUCUACGCCCAAGGGUCCGAAGCCGGGGUGGCACCCACUCAGAAGAGAAUCCCGGCUAAGCUGCUGCUUGCUUCCACUUAGGAAAUGCCUUCUCUGACAGAUCUCUAACAGCGCCUCGCUUCCCUCUCCAGACCCGGGGGCUUCUGGGUGCUCGCCGUUCCCCUCGAGCUCCGCGUGCGACUUCACAUGCCCUCCUUUGGGGCUACUCCUUUCCGUCAACAGCUCCGGCUGCCCCGCAUCUACUCGACCCCCAAACCCAGACAACAGGCACCUGCAGACCUUAUGGCAGGCCCUGACGGCUACACGAGAGCGCAUCUCUCUCCGAAGUUAAAGAGCACACUCUCCCAUCACUCAACGGAUCCCAACAAGCCACCACUACCGUUAACAGAAUCCGGAGAGGCCACGGCGCAGGCGCAACGGAGGUGAGCGUGCUUGCGGGCGGCAGGCCCCACCCCGGAAGCGCAUGUCUGCGUUCCGGCCGCAGCCGUCCCCCGCCCACCAUGGCGGACGCCGGCUCGGAUGGUUCUCUGCUAGCUUGCCGUUCGCGUCGCGCCCCUCCCUUCAGAUUGACUUUUUUCUUUCCUCGUAAGCACCAGUAAAGGUUAUUCCCAC